rnacentral:piRNA from 1 species
AAUACUGCCCAGGUGAAAGU